rnacentral:rRNA from 1 species
CGGGACACGUGGUAUCCUGUCUGAAUAUGGGGGGACCAUCCUCCAAGGCUAAAUACUCCUGACUGACCGAUAGUGAACCAGUACCGUGAGGGAAAGGCGAAAAGAACCCCGGCGAGGGGAGUGAAAAAGAACCUGAAACCGUGUACGUACAAGCAGUGGGAGCACGCUUAGGCGUGUGACUGCGUACCUUUUGUAUAAUGGGUCAGCGACUUAUAUUCUGUAGCAAGGUUAACCGAAUAGGGGAGCCGAAGGGAAACCGAGUCUUAACUGGGCGUUAAGUUGCAGGGUAUAGACCCGAAACCCGGUGAUCUAGCCAUGGGCAGGUUGAAGGUUGGGUAACACUAACUGGAGGACCGAACCGACUAAUGUUGAAAAAUUAGCGGAUGACUUGUGGCUGGGGGUGAAAGGCCAAUCAAACCGGGAGAUAGCUGGUUCUCCCCGAAAGCUAUUUAGGUAGCGCCUCGUGAAUUCAUCUCCGGGGGUAGAGCACUGUUUCGGCAAGGGGGUCAUCCCGACUUACCAACCCGAUGCAAACUGCGAAUACCGGAGAAUGUUAUCACGGGAGACACACGGCGGGUGCUAACGUCCGUCGUGAAGAGGGAAACAACCCAGACCGCCAGCUAAGGUCCCAAAGUCAUGGUUAAGUGGGAAACGAUGUGGGAAGGCCCAGACAGCCAGGAUGUUGGCUUAGAAGCAGCCAUCAUUUAAAGAAAGCGUAAUAGCUCACUGGUCGAGUCGGCCUGCGCGGAAGAUGUAACGGGGCUAAACCAUGCACCGAAGCUGCGGCAGCGACGCUGAUGCGUUGUUGGGUAGGGGAGCGUUCUGUAAGCCUGUGAAGGUGUGCUGUGAGGCAUGCUGGAGGUAUCAGAAGUGCGAAUGCUGACAUAAGUAACGAUAAAGCGGGUGAAAAGCCCGCUCGCCGGAAGACCAAGGGUUCCUGUCCAACGUUAAUCGGGGCAGGGUGAGUCGACCCCUAAGGCGAGGCCGAAAGGCGUAGUCGAUGGGAAACAGGUUAAUAUUCCUGUACUUGGUGUUACUGCGAAGGGGGGACGGAGAAGGCUAUGUUGGCCGGGCGACGGUUGUCCCGGUUUAAGCGUGUAGGCUGGUUUUCCAGGCAAAUCCGGAAAAUCAAGGCUGAGGCGUGAUGACGAGGCACUACGGUGCUGAAGCAACAAAUGCCCUGCUUCCAGGAAAAGCCUCUAAGCAUCAGGUAACAUCAAAUCGUACCCCAAACCGACACAGGUGGUCAGGUAGAGAAUACCAAGGCGCUUGAGAGAACUCGGGUGAAGGAACUAGGCAAAAUGGUGCCGUAACUUCGGGAGAAGGCACGCUGAUAUGUAGGUGAAGCGACUUGCUCGUGGAGCUGAAAUCAGUCGAAGAUACCAGCUGGCUGCAACUGUUUAUUAAAAACACAGCACUGUGCAAACACGAAAGUGGACGUAUACGGUGUGACGCCUGCCCGGUGCCGGAAGGUUAAUUGAUGGGGUCAGCGCAAGCGAAGCUCUUGAUCGAAGCCCCGGUAAACGGCGGCCGUAACUAUAACGGUCCUAAGGUAGCGAAAUUCCUUGUCGGGUAAGUUCCGACCUGCACGAAUGGCGUAAUGAUGGCCAGGCUGUCUCCACCCGAGACUCAGUGAAAUUGAACUCGCUGUGAAGAUGCAGUGUACCCGCGGCAAGACGGAAAGACCCCGUGAACCUUUACUAUAGCUUGACACUGAACAUUGAGCCUUGAUGUGUAGGAUAGGUGGGAGGCUUUGAAGUGUGGACGCCAGUCUGCAUGGAGCCGGCCUUGAAAUACCACCCUUUAAUGUUUGAUGUUCUAACGUUGACCCGUGAUCCGGGUUGCGGACAGUGUCUGGUGGGUAGUUUGACUGGGGCGGUCUCCUCCUAAAGAGUAACGGAGGAGCACGAAGGUUGGCUAAUCCUGGUCGGACAUCAGGAGGUUAGUGCAAUGGCAUAAGCCAGCUUGACUGCGAGCGUGACGGCGCGAGCAGGUGCGAAAGCAGGUCAUAGUGAUCCGGUGGUUCUGAAUGGAAGGGCCAUCGCUCAACGGAUAAAAGGUACUCCGGGGAUAACAGGCUGAUACCGCCCAA